CGACUAAAGGAGGUGCUCCAGCAUGGCCACAGUCAAAUGACUGAAACGAGUAAAAGAGUAAAGAGAGACUACACACUCAAUCGCCAAUCGUUCAUAAAAUCUUAAUACAGUUCAGCAAGAAGUAACACUAGAGGACUACCAUGUGUUUACAAACUCAAGAUGAUGGUGUGGAAUUUGUGAUGGAAAGUUUUUUUCUACAGUUAGAGUCUUUAGAAAAUCCACAUGAGCCAGCAUAGAGAAAUGAAAAGAACAUUCCACUCAUACUAAGCAACUGUAUGCCUACUUUUUACCCACUGCUAUAUUUAGACCUAGAUCAGAUCUUUGAUCUCCGGUCACAUGAACUUUAGUCACGACCAUGCCAUCCUAUGCUAGGAUAUCUUCAGUGGCAAUGUUUUGACACAUCAUGUGAUCUGUUAGCUAAUUAACUAAAGUCAACCUGGCGAAACAAAAGCUCUUCAGCGGAGUUAGAGUGUGAGAAAAAAAAAAAAAAAGAAAAAGAAAUGGAAAACCCACCGUAAAAACCAGUAGCGGCACGCAGGUAAAAUUAGUUGGGUGUUCUGCGUUAGAAGAUUCUUAGUCGUUGUUUUAAUAUUGUGUAUAAGGAAACAAGUGGAGGCGCAAUGGCCCAGUGGUUAGGGCAGCGGACUCGCGGUCAUAGGAUCGCGGUUUCGAUUCCCAGAUCAGAGUCUGUUUUUAAAUUAGUAGCAUGUGCCUCUCAAGUACAACAAAAACAUUUAGAAUUCUAUAGAAAAAAAAAAAAAAAAAAAA